AUAUAAAAGUUUAUCAAUAAGGUUAUUAUUAAUUUUUAUUUUAAGUUCGAUUGUUUAUCUUUAUUUUGGCUUUCAUUUUAUAAUAAAUGGAUAUAAGAAUUUAAAAAAUGGAAUAAUCAACAUGAAUGUUUUAGUAGCUAUUAGUUCAUCGUUUUCUUAUUUUUAUUCUCUUUUUCUUACAGUUUUUUGUUUAUUAUUUUCAAUAGAUUUAGGAAGCAUAUCUUUAUAUUUUGAUUCAUCUGCUCUGUUGAUAUGUAUCAUGAAAUUUGGUUUUGAAAUAGAAACUUUUUUAAUUAGUUUUACAAAAAAGAAAGUGGAGGAUCUGUAUGAAAAAAACACAAAACAUGUUUAUAUUUUAGAAGAAAAAAAUGGAUAUACAAACGAGCAUGACAAUGUUGUUGCCACAGUUGUUUCUACAGUUGCUACCACACCUGUUGCCACUGAUAGUUCCGCUAUUUCUACUGCCACAGGUACUAACAAUAAUAAUAAAAAUGGUAACAUCCAAAUUAAAAAUAGUGAUUGUUUGAUUACACAAAACGGAAAUAACACAAAUAAAACGAAUGAUAAUAAUAUAACCGACAAUAAUAUGAAAGUCAUAGAUCGAGAGAAGAAUUAUGAGAACAAUAGCACAUGGUCACUAUCCGUUUCUAAAAAAGAAGAUACAUUAUUAAAUAAGGGGUCUACUGAAAAUGAUAAAAAAUUAAAUUUAAAACCUUUAUUAUUUAAUAAAAAAGAGAGGCUAAUGGAUAAAAUAUUUUUUAAAAAUAAUAAACUAAAUUUAAAUGAUUAUGUGAUAAAAAGUUAUCCAGUUAAGUUUAUACAAAAACAUGACAUGUUGUUAUUUUAUGAAGGAUCUGCUUUACUAAUCGAUGGAAUCAAAAUAAACGAUGAGGUUUCUUAUGUUGAUGAGAGUAUGAUAAGUGGAGAAAAAAAGGCUAUUAAAAAAUACAAAGGUGAUAUUAUAUAUGCUGGUUCUAAAUGUUUAGAAGGUGUUAUUAUUAUAUAUAUAAAUGAUAUAUCAAAAGGGAAUUAUUUGGAAUAUAUAAAAAAAACAUUGGACUCAUUAAAAUGUGAUAAAACUAAUUUACAAUUAUAUGCGGAUAAAGUAGCUAAUAUAUUUAUUCCUCUUAUUUUAAUAUUAU
rnacentral:lncRNA from 1 species